rnacentral:rRNA from 1 species
GACAAACGCUGGCGGCGUGCCUAACACAUGCAAGUCGAACGGGCGAAGAGGGGAGCUUGCUUUCCUCAGAGCUAGUGGCGGACGGGUGAGUAACGCGUGAGUAACCUGCCUUGGAGAGGGGAAUAACACAAAGAAAUUUGUGCUAAUACCGCAUAUGGUGGCAGUACCGCAUGGUACAACCAUGAAAGAUUUAUCGCUCCAAGAUGGACUCGCGUCCGAUUAGCCAGUUGGCGGGGUAACGGCCCACCAAAGCAACGAUCGGUAGCCGGACUGAGAGGUUGAACGGCCACAUUGGGACUGAGACACGGCCCAG